UACAGAGGGUGCGAGCGUUGUUCGGAAUUAUUGGGCGUAAAGGGCGCGUAGGCGGUGCGGUAAGUCACCUGUGAAAUCUCCUGGCUCAACUGGGAGCUUGCAGGCGAAACUGCCGUGCUGGAGUGUGGGAGAGGUGCGUGGAAUUGCAGGUGUAGCGGUGAAAUGCGUAGAUAUCUGCAGGAACACCCGUGGCGAAAGCGGCGCGCUGGACCACUACUGACGCUGAGGAACGAAAGCUAGGGGAGCAAACAGG
rnacentral:rRNA from 1 species